GGGAGCCACAGUUCUGUGUGUUUUGUUGCUCGACCCGUCAGAGAGGCGUGUAUUUCUUCCGCUCCGUGAAUAUCUUCUACUCUGCGGAUCCAUUCUUCUUUAGUUGGUACAUCACUUGUCUUCCAGUGUGCCGGUAUGUUAGCUUUGGCCGCGUUUAGUAAGUGACGUAGUAUAGAUCUUUUAUACGUCCGGAUCGAUUGUGUCGUUAUG